ensembl:lncRNA
AAUAUCCAGUGGGAGGGAGUCUCAAGGGAGCAGUCCUGAACCGAGAACUCUUUGGCUUUUAUCACAAGGAAAAACAGGAAGAAAACCAGAUUGGGUGGCAAGGAACAGGAAGAUGAAAAAGUCAUCAAUUUGGCCAAUGUCACUCAAUCAUCAGCACAAUAGAGUUUUUCCAGAAUCUUCCUUGAGGACCUGUACUCCAAGAGCAUUUAUUUCCAUAAGCAUUUUGGGGUUUUGUUUGUUUUGUUGAUUUAUAUUGCCUAUCAUGAAAAUGCAAUCUCAUUUAUAAGAGUUAAGUUCUUUUGGUGGUGUUUUUCGGGUUUUGGUUUUUCGAGACAACCCCAGGGUCUCACUAUGUUGCCCAGGCUGGCCUUGCACUUCCAGUCCUCCUACUUUGGCCUCCUGAGUGCUGAAAUUUCAGGAUGUGGUUUGUGCCAGUUCCUCCCUCCCAGGAGACAUCCCGCAUCACACAACAUUUCACUCAGCUGUGUGGCUGAGCGCUGACAAACUCAAUUUGUGGAAGGUGAGCGCAAGUUGACACCAUGCUGUGGCAGUUGUCCUGAUGGGAGCCAAGGACUCAUUUCAUUCCAAGGUGGAACCCACCUUCUCCGGAAACAAGCUUGUGCACACGAGUGUAGCGGACAAGGACGGAAGACUGACACAAAGUCGAAGAACUUCUGGAGUUGGAGAGAGCAGGGAGGGAUGGGAGGAGAAGCGGACAAAGAGAAUUAAGAUAUGUUGUGUAUGUGUACAAACUUCCCCACAAUAAAUAUAAUCCUCAUGUAUGGC